rnacentral:rRNA from 1 species
UACGUAGGGUGCAAGCGUUACUCGGAAUUACUGGGCGUAAAGCGUGCGCAGGCGGUUUUGUAAGUCUGUCGUGAAAUCCCCGGGCUCAACCUGGGAAUUGCGAUGGAGACUGCAAGGCUGGAGUCUGGCAGAGGGGGGUAGAAUUCCACGUGUAGCAGUGAAAUGCGUAGAGAUGUGGAGGAAUACCGAUGGCGAAGGCAGCCCCCUGGGAUAACACUGACGCUCAUGCACGAAAGCGUGGGGAGCAAACAGG